UACGGAGGGAGCUAGCGUUGUUCGGAAUUACUGGGCGUAAAGGGCGCGUAGGCGGAUAGUUUAGUCAGAGGUGAAAGCCCAGGGCUCAACCUUGGAAUUGCCUUUGAUACUGGCUAUCUUGAGUUCGGGAGAGGUGAGUGGAAUGCCGAGUGUAGAGGUGAAAUUCGUAGAUAUUCGGCGGAACACCAGUGGCGAAGGCGACUCACUGGCACGAUACUGACGCUGAGGCGCGAAAGCUAGGGGAGCAAACGGG
rnacentral:rRNA from 1 species